GACGAACGCUGGCGGCGUGCUUAACACAUGCAAGUCGAACGGUGAAAGAGAAUCCGAUCUCUUCGGAGUGAAGAAUCUCUGGAUUAGUGGCGGACGGGUGAGUAACGCGUGAGCAAUCUGCCUUACACAAAGGGAUAGCCUCGGGAAACCGGGAUUAAUACCAUAUGAUAUCUACGAGCCGCAUGGCCUAUAGAUUAAAGAAUUUCGGUGUAAGAUGAGCUCGCGUCCCAUUAAUUAGUUGGUGGGGUAACGGCCCACCAAGGCGACGAUCAGUAGCCGGUCUGAGAGGAUGAACGGCCACAUUGGGACUGAGAUACGGCCCAG
rnacentral:rRNA from 1 species